rnacentral:lncRNA from 1 species
UCAUAUCUAGCUUCGAUGUCUGAAAAAAGGCUUAAAAUACAGAUGAUCUGGCAUUAGAACAGGUCACAACCUGGUAUUUCAAAGGAAAUAUAUACAACCUGAGAUCUUUUGGCACUUGCAUAUAAAGGUUGAGGAAUCACCUGGAGAAACUCCAAAAAAUCAAACAGAAAUCCGUUGUGAGUAACCGCAAAUUACAAAAACUAUCAACAGUCCCAACAUAUAUAACCAGUGAACUGAAACGGUAGUGUAAAAUCAUAAUAAUAGGUAGGUCCUUUGCUGAGCACAAAUCAUAAUAAUCGGUUGACGUGAAAUUAAAGCUUCUAGAGCUACCUCACAGGUGAAGAAUUGUGGCUUAUUAAUGGGGUAUGCCAGUCUUGUGACAUCCUCGGCUUUUGCUACAGUGAGCGUUGUAAUUAAGCUACAGUGAUGACCAUGAUCAGCAACAAAUCAUUUUGCUAAAUUGGAUAUCAUCAAGUUGAAAUUCAUAUCUCUUUUCAAAUUCCACGUAAAAAGCC